AUUGAAACAAAAAGCAAUUCAAGAUAUGGAAACAGGUUUGACAGGAAAAACAGGUCUCUUACCCGACAAAACUCAAAAGCUGAUUGAAUUUGUUGCUCUUGUUUCUUUUGCGUUUGACUUGUUUCCUCCUCCCCCCAGUUUGCUGAAAGAACAAGAGAAAGAGCAAAAGGGAGAGGAGAGUCU
rnacentral:ribozyme from 13 species